rnacentral:rRNA from 1 species
UACGUAGGGUGCAAGCGUUAAUCGGAAUUACUGGGCGUAAAGCGUGCGCAGGCGGCUCUGAAAGUCAGAUGUGAAAGCCCCGGGCUUAACCUGGGAAUUGCAUUUGAUACUCUGGAGCUUGAGUACGGGAGAGGAGAGUGGAAUUCCCAGUGUAGAGGUGAAAUUCGUAGAUAUUGGGAAGAACACCGGUGGCGAAGGCGGCUCUCUGGACCGUAACUGACGCUGAGGCGCGAAAGCGUGGGGAGCAAACAGG